GCGGGAACGGGUCGCCGGUGGCGGGAAGUGCAGCAGCGGUGAACAGUAGAAGAAGGCAUGGCGGCGGAGAGAGGCGUCUUUAUUUUUCCCUCUGAGAACAUUCACUUGAUGAAACGCGGCUCGUGAUGUAAAAUGGAGGAGGAGGCGGCCCUGAGACGUUACUGCAGGACGAUGAUUCGUGCCAUCCAGAGCAGGCAGCAGCACCAGCAGUCCCGGCAGAGGAGGGCAGGACGCGGAGCAGACACGGGGGAGGGGCGAGACCGCAGAGAGCCCCCCCUCCCUCCGGCUUCCCACAGUCAUGGCCCCGAACCGCGGCCCGUCCCCCCGCAGCUCCUGUCGGUCCUCAGGCUGAAGACCGUCCAGGAGCACAUGCGACGGGCUGCGGAGGUGGAGCUCCAUGAUCCCGCUGUCUGCAGCAUGUGUGAGCAGCAACAGGCUUUUCUGGCCUUGAGAAGUUUUAUCUGGAGGAAGAAGACACAACUGCAGCUCCCUUUACUGAUGGCCAGACAAAACACACACUGGAGCCGCAGACUAAGUGACUGCAGAAAUGCAACAUUUUCCCCAAGUCCUGCAAUCCCCCACACUGGAUUUGGGAGGAACAACUUGAUGAAGACAGGCAGGUCACAGCAACCUGGAGUUGCCGUAGCAACCACUAAAGAACGUGGAGUUGGCCUGGCAACAGAUGAAAUAAGGGGUCACCCUGACAAAAACGCUACAGGAACUGAUUUAGAAAGAUCUCACUGUACUUUUCCAGAUAGAUAG
rnacentral:lncRNA from 1 species